rnacentral:misc_RNA from 1 species
AAGUCGUAACGAGGUUUCCGUAGGUGAACCUGCGGAAGGAUCAUUAGUGAAUAUAGGACGUCCAACUUAACUUGGAGUCCGAACUCUCACUUUCUAACCCUGUCGCAUUGUUUGGGCAUUAUGGUAAGCAUCUCGCAAGAGGGCGAACUCCUAUUCACUUAUAAACACAAAGUCUAUGAAUGUAUUAAAUUUUAUAACAAAAUAAAA